CGGUGUGUAGGGGAACAGCGGUCACACAUAGGGCGAUGCCUUGCACUAACACAUCAGCACCACAAUACGUAGUCUCAUCUAAGGGAACGAUGCCCUCCACUAAGAAGGAUUGCGCCGCACCCGUAUCCCGUAGGAUAGUCACAGGAUGUCGUUCCUGACCUUCACCGAGCGAAACCGAUCCAGGGAACACGAAGGGCUGAAAGGAGGUGGAGACGCAGCGGAGGACGAAGGAGGUGUCACAGGACGGAGACCAAGUCUAUGAGGCAGAGGAGUUGGGGCAAACACAGUCUUGUGGGUUAAAAUAAACUCAUCCGCAAGGGUGGCAGCCUCAGACAAAGAAACAACUUUUUGUUCAUUUAAAUACACCACGACCCGGUCGGGGAUACAAGUUUUAAACUCCUCCAAUAACAACAACUCCUUAAGCUGGUCAAAGUCAUACACACCACUUGCAGCACACCAUUUAUCGCACAGGAGAGCUUUCUCACGAGCAAACUCAACAUGGGUUUGGCUGGUGGAUUUACUCAGUUUCCUGAAGUUUUGUCAGUAAGCCUCUGGUACUAACUCAUAUGCCUUUAAUAUAGUGGCUUUCACGACAUCAUAAUCUAAGCUCUGCUCUAACGCAAGAGCCGAACAGACCUCCUGCGCUUUCCCCACUAGCUUACAUUGCAACAAUAACGACCAAAGAUGUUUGGGCCAGUUCAACGUUGUAGCGAUCCGCUCGAAGAUAGAGAAAUAGGCAUCUACCUCAUUCUCACGAAAAAUGGGAACAAGCCCAACAUGGCGGCUGACAUCAAUUCCGGAAUGCCCAAUUUCAGUGCCUAGGGAAGCUGGCGAACCCAAAGGAGAACACAGGCGAGGAGCGUCUUAGGCACCAACUGAGUCACGGGCGGGUAGGGCUGCCUGAGGGGUCGUACUUGCCCGGACAUGGAGAAGUUGUGCCUGAUACUCUUGCCGUUUUAUCUCCAGCUCCAGCUCCCUCAGCUUAAUAGUAAGCAGCAGUUCCUCCCUAGCUGAACGAGGAUCGCCGAGAUCCAUGCGGAUCCCCAGCCCCAGGUCGUCGCCGCUGGCCUCCACUGCAGUCGGCAACCGCAGGGGAGUGGAUGCAACACCCGGCGAGCCGCUCAACUCAGCUCCCGGAACCGGAAGUCGGCGCAGCUGGGAGGCGUGGCCAGGUCCGGGCGGAGCCGAAGAGGCGGCAGACGAAUGGCGAGUGGGCAGGGCGUCCGACGAACCAACUCGGCACGAACCCAAAA